rnacentral:rRNA from 1 species
CGGGGAAUUUUGGACAAUGGGCGAAAGCCUGAUCCAGCAAUGCCGCGUGUGUGAAGAAGGCCUUCGGGUUGUAAAGCACUUUUGUCCGGAAAGAAAUCCUUGGCUCUAAUACAGUCGGGGGAUGACGGUACCGGAAGAAUAAGCACCGGCUAACUACGUGCCAGCAGCCGCGGUAAUACGUAGGGUGCAAGCGUUAAUCGGAAUUACUGGGCGUAAAGCGUGCGCAGGCGGUUUGCUAAGACCGAUGUGAAAUCCCCGGGCUCAACCUGGGAACUGCAUUGGUGACUGGCAGGCUAGAGUAUGGCAGAGGGGGGUAGAAUUCCACGUGUAGCAGUGAAAUGCGUAGAGAUGUGGAGGAAUACCGAUGGCGAAGGCAGCCCCCUGGGCCAAUACUGACGCUCAUGCACGAAAGCGUGGGGGAGCAAAACAGGAUUAGAUACCCUGGUAGUCCACGCCCUAAACGAUGUCAACUAGUUGUUGGGGAUUCAUUUCCUUAGUAACGUAGCUAACGCGUGAAGUUGACCGCCUGGGGAGUACGGUCGCAAGAUUAAAACUCAAAGGAAUUGACGGGG